AUGCUCACUUCCACAGCACUUAUCCUAAAAUUAGUACAAUACAAGGAAGACUAGCAUGGUCCCUGUGCAAGGAUAACACAUAAAUUCAUUAAUGUUCCAUAAGAAGA